UAUGCACGCAGGAAGGACCCACAUUUCUGGAUUUUUUAAAGGAUGAAAGUAAAAGUUUCAUCUAGAGUUAGAUGCAACAGAAUAAGAUUGUAUACCUGUUUUACUGAUAUAUGAGAGAGACUUGAAGAAGGUGACCACUGCAGAGAUUGAAUCAGCAUCCUCAGCAACUUUGAAAGCACAGACACAAUCGAUCAAAACCUUGAUCGAUGGAAGAGGCACAUCAGAGACAAAAUUAAGAUAAUUGCGUCAAAAUGGCACCUCUUGAGACCUGGAAUCUGCUGACACAGAUGUUAUAAAAGACUUUUC
rnacentral:lncRNA from 1 species